rnacentral:rRNA from 1 species
AGAGUUUGAUCCUGGCUCAGAAUCAACGCUGGCGGCGCGCUUAACACAUGCAAGUCGAACGAGAAAGUGGAGCAAUCCAUGAGUACAGUGGCGUACGGGUGAGUAACACGUGGGUAAUCUGCCUCUUAGUGGGGAAUAACCCUGGGAAACCGGGGCUAAUACCGCAUAAUCUCGAGAGAGGAAAGUCGCAAGACGCUGAG